ACCCAGCAAACAUUGGUCCGACCGCAACGUCGUGUCCCUGGCCAAAAAUAGUCGCGGUAUGACGGCACAAAUCGGUGAAAAUAUGUAACACAGAACAUUUCAUAAAAAUGCAUUCAGAUACAUUUGUACAUGUCUAUAGUUCUAUGGGGUUGCAUGUAUAAUUGUUACUUUGACUUUUACUACGCGUGCUUCAAUAUUUAUACCCUGUUGUGAAUCGGUUGUAAGAGGACGUCACUAGGUGACGUCUUUUACACGUGCAUUUAUAGUCUAUCAUGACCCUCCAUAAAAAAUCAUAAACCUUCUAUAAAGUCAUUGUGAAAUAUGCAAAUGCUGUGCUUACACCUUGGUUAAUACUGCAAUAAUUAAUUUAAGUGCAAAAAGUAGGUUUUUAAGAGGUUGUGAAUAGACGUCCACUGACGUCUUUUACACGUCUAGACUAGACUAGUAGGAAAAAAACAGGAUAUCUUUAUGAAAUACACGAUUUGUAUACAAAGUAAAUAUAUUAACUUUAUCUUGUUUAAAUAAAUUAUAAUCACAAAGUGCCCAGUGUGAUUGCAAAGCCACACUGCAUUUUAGUCAUUAUUCCAACCUGUUUUAUUAUUGAAUGUAUGCAUAUAAAUGUAAAACAGAUACAUAUCCGGUCACCAUUUAGGUCUGAGUUGGAUGUAAUUUCAAAAACUGUGCUAUUAAUUUAAGAAAUAUAGUGAUAAAUCUGGGGAUAUUACAAAAUCCCGCGAUAGGACAGAUUAUCUCGCGAGAUAGUGGUGACGUCACGCGUUCUUCCGGAAGUUCACAUUCAAACACGAGGAGCGAUUACGAGGGAGUUUUGUCUAUAUAUCAUUCAAAAUCUACUGUUGGGAAAAGCAGAACCUCAUCCAAAUAAAAAUAAACAAGCUGAUAAAGGCACUGUGUCCUACACAGACCCUCCAAAAUAUAACCACCCAAAACCCAAGUCAGUUGAAGGUCAACACAAACCAAAUAAAGAUGUGCAUUCUACAAACAAUAAAAAAAGAUCAAGUUUUGUGUCCACCACACUUAGAUGAGGCGUGCCCGACCCCUGACUUUGUCUACCCUACAUUAAGUUGCACACUUCAUGACAGUAAACAUCGGUAUCACAAUGGUGUGAUUGAUCUAUACCCUAGAAUAAGCUGUGACACUAUGAGACGUGAGGUAACACAACGAAAAAAUUACCGGAUGGAGACUACCUGAUUCUUCACCUAUGGCCUCAGCUUCAAAUGCAACAUGUCCAGCAACUGUCUGAGUUGGUGGAUAUUCUGUCAGAGACUGCGUGAACAAUGUUAUGAACAGAAUGAUGUCAAAUUGUGUUAUGGCAAAGUUCAAUAUGAGGGGUGGUGGACAUCUGGAAAAGAAGUCUUUUAAAGGCACACCUUUGUAUUAUGUUAUUUAAGAUGCUGUGAAGAGGUGGAGCCCAAAUGCCACAGACUCGGAAAUAGAUGCAGCUAUGGCAGACCACCUCAAGCACGCUCCAGGAAGAGCUGGGGGUGGUGGAUACAAAAAAGCCAAACAGCUGUGAUGUGUUAAAGAGAGAGUUCACCAAAAAAGGAAAAUUGUUAUAAUUUUCUUAUCCACAUGUUUCAAACCUGUAUACUUUUAUAUUUUCUGCUGAACACAAAGAUUGAAGAAUGUUUGUAACUUCACAACCAAUUAACUGUCAAUAUUUUUUUUACAAUUGUAGUAAUGGGUUGUGAGAUCUGCUUUGUUAAAAACAUUCUUUCACAUAUCUUUGUGUUCAGCAGAACAUAGAAGGGUAUACAGGUUUGAAACAUGAGAGGGAAUAAAUGACUAAAUAUUAAUUUUUGGGUGAACUAUCCCUUUAUAGAAAGUGUUUUGAAGUUGUUAUUAUAGUUAAAUGGUUAAAAAAAAAUAAAAAGUGCUAAAUCAGAACAUGCUUCUUUUUUUGUUAUGGCCACAAAUAAUGUAUUCUUUAAUGUGUUUGUGAAGUACACGUGGUUAAAACGUUUUAUGGACGUUCAGGUCUGACUGGACCAAUUUUGAACUGAUUUUGAACCUUUGUGAAUAUGUGUUAAACCUCAAUACAAUUGAUUGCCUUUCACGAUGUAACACAAUGGGUGUAUAUUCAUUUUAUAUGCAUACAUUUAAACUAUGCAGCAACACAUUUAAACAUCCAGAAGACGGCACAUUUAGACGUCCAGGGACGGGCAGAAAAGACGUGUAAUUCACGGCCAAAUGACGUCAAAGACGUCCGCUCAACUUUAAUUUAGGGUAUUUUUCAACCGCGAUGGGACGUGACGAAGGGUCGUCUUUUCAACGGUCAUAAAACGUCCACAUGUUUGCUAUAUGAGGGCUUAAAACAUAUAUUUAAACUAUGCAGGAACACAUUUAAACAUCCAAAAUACGGCGCAUUUAGACGUCCAGGGACGUGCAGAAAAGACGUGUAAUUCACGGCCAGAUGACGUCAAAGACGUCGGCUCAACUUUCAUUUUGGAUAUAUUUUUCAACGCGGACGGGACGUGACGAACGGACGUCUUUUCAACGGUCAUCACACGUCCAAAUGUUUGUUG